CUGUGAGAAGAAAUUAUAUGCUCUUAAAUGAGUCGUGUGAGUCGCCACAAGAAGACUGGAACCAGAGACUGGAUAACGUUUUCUCUAUACAUAUUCUUCAACACACUCAGUUGUGUCCCCCUUCGCUUCCACUGUGCUCAUAUGCUUUGAUUUUGCGCUUCUUUCCAUUUCCAAUCCAAUGGCUUCUUCUUUUCCUCUUUACCAACCAACCCACACCAUAUUCUCCAACACCCAGUUCAAAGGUUCGCGCCGUGGCUUCUUGUGGCGACCCACUUACCCGUUUGGCUCUCACGCCGAAAACAAAGCUCGACCCAUCAAAGCUUCGGUUGAUGCACCCCCGUUUCCCCUGUUUCAGCCUCCCCAAGUUGAAGAGUCAUCGUCUGAGUUGGAGCCGGCUGAUCCUGAUUUCUACAAGAUUGGUUAUGUCCGAAGCAUGCGAGCUUAUGGAGUUCAGUUUAAAGAAGGUCCAGAUGGUUUUGGUGUGUAUGCUUCUAAAGAUGUAGAGCCUCUUCGUCGAGCAAGGGUUAUAAUGGAAAUUCCUCUUGAACUGAUGUUAACCAUAAGCAAGAAGCUCCCAUGGAUGUUUUUCCCUGAUAUAAUCCCUUUGGAUCAUCCAAUAUUUGAUAUUAUCAACUCGACAAAUCCAGAGACAGAUUGGGACCUAAGGUUGGCAUGCCUUCUCUUGUAUGCAUUUGACUGUGAAGGCAACUUUUGGCAAUUGUAUGGUGACUUCUUACCAAGUGCAGAUGAGUGCACCAGCUUACUUCUAGCUUCAGAGGAGGAACUUUUGGAGCUGCAGGAUCCCAAUCUUGCUUCUACUAUUAGAAAACAGCAAUUACGAGCCUUAGAAUUCUGGGAGAAAAACUGGCACUGUGAUGCACCCCUUAAAAUAAAGCGUCUUGCUCGUGAUCCACAAAGAUUCACUUGGGCAGUAAGUAUUGCACAGUCACGGUGUAUUAACCUGAAAACGAGAAUUGGUGCUCUAAAUCAAGAAGCAAAUAUGUUGAUUCCUUAUGCAGAUAUGUUGAACCAUUCUUUUGAGCCAAAUUGUUUUUUCCAUUGGCGUUUUAAGGACAGGAUGCUUGAGGUUCUUACAAAUGCUGGACAGCGCAUUAGAAAGGGAGAUGAGAUGACAGUUGAUUACAUGAGUUCGCAGAAGAAUGACGCAUUCAUGCAAAGAUUUGGAUUUUCGUCACCUGUGAAUCCUUGGGACGAGAUCAAAUUCUCAGGCAAUGCACGUAUUCAUUUGGAUUCCUUCUUGUCAAUCUUCAAUAUAUCUGGCCUUCCAGAAGAGUAUUACCAUAACAACUGUCUAUCAAAUCCCGGAGAUACGUUUGUUGAUGGAGCUGUUAUAGCUGCAGCACGAACAUUGCCAACUUGGUCAGACAGGGAUGUGCCACCUAUCCCUAGCGUUGAAAGAAAGGCCACAAAGGAGCUGCAAGAUGAAUGCCGUAAAAUGCUUGCCGGAUUCGCUACAACCUCUAAGCAAGACCAAAAGUUGCUAGAUUUUAUGAUAAAAGCUAAUGGUUAGCUUACACAUCAUGACCGCAGAUUCCAUGACAGAUGCUACCAGGACACUUGAAACUGCAAUAAAGUAUAGAUUGCAUAGGAAAUUGUUCAUGGAUAAAGUUAUCCAAGCAUUGGAGAUUUAUCAAGAGCAAAUACUGUUCUGAUCCAAUCUACAUACUGGAGAUUAGUCACGAAAAUUUUGUAACGCUGCUAUUUACCUGUAAUCAUGUAUCACCGAAAACAAAUGCUCAUUAUCUAUGAAAUGCAGGUUCUUCAUUUUGUCA